CCUACGGGUGGCAGCAAGCGGGAAUUAUGCGCAAUGGGCGAAAGCCUGACGCUGCAACGCCGCGUGCGGGAAUGAAGGCCGUGAGGUCGUAAACCGCUGUGGAGAGGGAAGAUAAUGACGGUACCUCUCUAGAAAGCAGUUGCUAACUGCGUGCCAGAAGCCUCGGUCAUACGUGGGCUGCAAGCAUUAUCCGGAGUUAUUGGGCGUAAAGGGCUGGGUAGGCUGUCUAGUGCGUCUGUGGUUAAAGGUCACGGCUCAACCGUGAACAUGCUAUAGAUACGGCUAGACUAGAACAUCGUAGGGGCAAGCGGAACUGUGCAAGGAGGGGUAAAAUCCGUUGAUAUGCACAGGAACACCGAAGGCGAAAGCAGCUUGCUGGACGAAUGUUGACGCUGAACCGCGAAAGCUAGGGGAGCGAAACGGAUUAGAUACCCUUGUAG
rnacentral:rRNA from 1 species